rnacentral:rRNA from 1 species
AACGAACGCUGGCGGCAUGCCUAACACAUGCAAGUCGAACGAGACCUUCGGGUCUAGUGGCGCACGGGUGCGUAACGCGUGGGAACCUGCCCUUAGGUUCGGAAUAACUCACCGAAAGGGGUGCUAAUACCGGAUGAUGUCUUAGGACCAAAGAUUUAUCGCCUUUGGAUGGGCCCGCGUUGGAUUAGCCAGUUGGUAGGGUAAAAGCCUACCAAGGCGACGAUCCAUAGCUGGUCUGAGAGGAUGAUCAGCCACACUGGGACUGCGACACGGCCCAGACUCCUACGGGAGGCAGCAGUAGAGUAUAUUGGACGCUGGGCGAAAGCCUGAUCCAGCCGUGCCGCGUGAGUGAUCAAUGCCUUAGUGUUGUAAAGCUCUUUUACCCGGGAUGAUAAUGACAGUACCGGGUGAAUAAGCACCGGCUAACUCCGUG